rnacentral:lncRNA from 1 species
CUUAUAUUUUUGAGUCAAGUGAGAGGUUAUUAGCAAGCCCUCCUAAUCCCCGGCCUAGAACGAUACCCUACUUACAUCUAUACUACAAUUGUCAAAAAUAGGGUUUAAUUUGUGCUUAUAUAUUUCGCACCAUUAAUUAAUCAAACGAAUAAGUUCGUUAAAGACCUCGGGAUAGUUUUGGACCUUAAGGCCCAAUGGGCUUCGAACGUCAAGCCCAUUAACAUAAGUUAUAUGACAACUUAAUGAAUAAUGAUUCACAAAGGCCCAAUUAGUCCAAAAUAUCCUAAU